rnacentral:rRNA from 1 species
UCGAGGAUCUUCGGCAAUGGGCGCAAGCCUGACCGAGCGAGGCCGCGUGGGCGAUGAAGGCCUUCGGGUUGUAAAGCCCUGUCGAGAGGGAGAAAAGCCGAAAGGUUUGAUCUAUCUCUGGAGGAAGCACGGGCUAAGUUCGUGCCAGCAGCCGCGGUAAGACGAACCGUGCGAACGUUAUUCGGAAUCACUGGGCUUAAAGGGCGCGUAGGCGGGCCACCAAGUCCGGGGUGAAAUCCUCCAGCUCAACUGGAGAACUGCCUCGGAUACUGGAGGUCUCGAGGGGGAUAGGGGCACGCGGAACUGUGGGUGGAGCGGUGAAAUGCGUUGAUAUCCAUAGGAACUCCGGUGGCGAAGGCGGCGUGCUGGAUCUCUUCUGACGCUGAGGCGCGAAAGCCAGGGGAUCAAACGGG